rnacentral:rRNA from 1 species
GGUAGUUAAGUCAGAAGUGAAAUCCAAUAGCUCAACUAUUGAACUGCUUUUGAAACUGAUUACCUAGAAUAUGGGAGAGGUAGGUGGAAUUUCUGGUGUAGGGGUAAAAUCCGUAGAGAUCAGAAGGAAUACCGAUUGCGAAGGCGAUCUACUGGAACAUUAUUGACGCUGAGACGCGAAAGCGUGGGGAGCAAACAGGAUUAGAUACCCUGGUAGUCCACGCCCUAAACGAUGUACACUAGUUGUUGUGAGGCUCGACCUUGCAGUAAUGCAGUUAACACAUUAAGUGUACCGCCUGGGGAGUACGGUCGCAAGAUUAAAACUCAAAGGAAUAGACGGGGACCCGCACAAGCGGUGGAGCAUGUGGUUUAAUUCGACGAUACACGAAGAACCUUACCUGGACUUGACAUAGUAAGAACUUUCUAGAGAUAGAUUGGUGUCUGCUUGCAGAAACUUAUAUACAGGUGCUGCACGGCUGUCGUCAGCUCGUGUCGUGAGAUGUUGGGUUAAGUCCCGCAACGAGCGCAACCCUCGUCAUUAGUUGCUAACAGUUCGGCUGAGAACUCUAAUGAGACUGCCUACGCAAGUAGGAGGAAGGUGAGGACGACGUCAAGUCAUCAUGGCCCUUACGUCCAGGGCUACACACGUGCUACAAUGGGGUAUACAAAGAGCCGCAAUACGGUGACGUGGAGCAAAUCUCAAAAAUAUCUCCCAGUUCGGAUUGUAGUCUGCAACUCGACUACAUGAAGUUGGAAUCGCUAGU